UCAUACCACACUCUCAUUCUUAUCUGUGUCUAGAAUGGGGUGUCCUGGUGUGAAU
rnacentral:pre_miRNA from 1 species